AGAGCAUUCAGUCAUAAUGCCCAGGACACUGGGGCACUAGAAGCUUCCAGGAGUCUCCACCAGGAUGAGUGAGGGCUCGAGUCAUUGAUGAUACCCUCCACAACCUGAGAGGAAUAAACAGUCAUAGCAUGAUUUGCGGGUAGCACAUGCUGGCCAAACACUACUAUAGUUUAGCUCACUGACUUCUCUCAGCAAACCUCUCUUUUCUGUUUUACAGAAAAAUCAGAAGGGUCACACAGUGGGAGAGUGGUCAUCGGGAACAGACCCUACCAGUCUUCUAGUCUGUACUCUCUGCCUUCCUAAGCAGCACAGGGAGAUGCCAUCAAUAAAAUCCUUGGAGAAGAUGAAGAUGAGGAUCAGGGCGAUGCUUUUACAAGCCAAGAGACAUCCAAGAUUGCCAGCAAGCUGCCUGAAUUUGAGCAGAGGCACAAGAUGAUCACCCAUCCCCGCAGGUCCCUCAGCCGGAACAAAUUCA
rnacentral:lncRNA from 1 species